rnacentral:rRNA from 1 species
UACGAAGGGGGCUAGCGUUGCUCGGAAUUACUGGGCGUAAAGCGCACGUAGGCGGCUUUCUAAGUCGGGGGGUGAAAUCCUGGAGCUCAACUCCAGAACUGCCUUCGAUACUGGAGAGCUCGAGUCCGGGAGAGGUGAGUGGAACUGCGAGUGUAGAGGUGAAAUUCGUAGAUAUUCGCAAGAACACCAGUGGCGAAGGCGGCUCAGCUGGCCCGGU